UGUUAAAAAGGCGUUAAAAUAGAUGAUUUAUGUCCUUGUAGAGAGAAUUUAACAGAAGCAUAGUUGGAAGAGAGGAAUUUUGUAGGAUUGGAUUGUGUCUGUGAGAAAGUGACCAUACUUCCCAAGACCACACCUGCUCCUGUGUUGUUGGGUACUGGGUCAAGAGUGAAGGACUGCGCCGGUCAUCAGACUGAAGGGGCGACCGAGAGUGGAAUGUAUGAAAUUUACCCAUCAGAGUUCUGUGUCACUAGACGGAGUUGUCACCCGCAACGGCCGAGUCGUACGUACGACUGCCCGGUUUGUAUCACGUGUGGGACGCAACCCGGCCAACAUCCAGUCUCCCGUCGCGCCCGGAGGGGAGGGGAGGGGGAGUAUUGCCGUGUGUCGCUGACUAACCGACCCCCUGCGAAUCUACCAGCGUAUCCCUCGUGGUCAAGGUCAGGUAACCAGCGACGCUGAACAAAGCGGGGGGCCUACCAUCAAGCCACGCCUACUCCCGCUAUAUAAGACUUCACCUGGCCGUCAUCGACCUCUUACUACUUACUGCUACCAGCAAGCAACAUCUCUCAACAGCUCCACACCACACACUCCCUCAGAAAGCUCCUCGCCCUACAGGUACGCUGAGCAAGCUUCACCCGACCUAGUAUCUCUUUAACACUGUGCUGUGCAACAAUAUAUAU